ACUGAGGUGGCGACCGGCGGCACGGGUGAGUAACACGUAUGCAACCUGCCUGUAAGCGGGGAAUAACCCGUUGAAAGACGGACUAAUACCGCAUAAUACUAAAUUACUGCAUGGUAAUUUAUUUAAACAUUUAUGGCUUACAGAUGGGCAUGCGCAUGAUUAGCUAGUUGGAGAGGUAACGGCUCCCCAAGGCAACGAUCAUUAGGGGUUCUGAGAGGAAGGUCCCCCCACACUGGUACUGAGACACGGACCAGACUCCUACGGGAGGCAGCAGUGAGGAAUAUUGGUCAAUGGACGAGAGUCUGAACCAGCCAAGUCGCGUGCAGGAAGAAUUGUCCUAUGGAUUGUAAACUGCUUUUUGCAGGGGAAUAAAGUGCAUCACGUGUGAUGUUUUGUAUGUACUCUGCGAAUAAGGAUCGGCUAACUCCGUGCCAGCCGCGGC
rnacentral:rRNA from 1 species